CACGUAGGGCGCAAGCGUUGUCCGGAAUUAUUGGGCGCAAAGAGCUCGUAGGCGGUCUGUUGCGUCCGCUGUGAAAACUCGGGGCUUAACCCCGAGCCUGCAGUGGAUACGGGCAGACUAGAGGUAGGUAGGGGAGAAUGGAAUUCCCGGUGUAGCGGUGAAAUGCGCAGAUAUCAGGAGGAACACCGGUGGCGAAGGCGGUUCUCUGGGCAUGUCCUGACGCUGAGGAGCGAAAGUGUGGGGAGCGAACAGG
rnacentral:rRNA from 1 species